UUUAUGGAGAGUUUGAUCCUGGCUCAGGAUGAACGCUGGCGGCGUGCCUAAUACAUGCAAGUCGAGCGAACGGACGAGAAGCUUGCUUCUCUGAUGUUAGCGGCGGACGGGUGAGUAACACGUGGAUAACCUACCUAUAAGACUGGGAUAACUUCGGGAAACCGGAGCUAAUACCGGAUAAUAUUUUAAACCGCAUGGUUCAAAAGUGAAAGACGGUCUUGCUGUCACUUAUAGAUGGAUCCGCGCUGCAUUAGCUAGUUGGUAAGGUAACGGCUUACCAAGGCAACGAU
rnacentral:rRNA from 1 species